rnacentral:tRNA from 1 species
GCGGGAGUAGCUCAUUUGGUAGAGCGAUAGCCUUCCAAGCUAUAGGUAGCGGGUUCGAGACCCGUCUCCCGCU